rnacentral:rRNA from 1 species
AACGAACGCUGGCGGCAGGCCUAACACAUGCAAGUCGAGCGAGGACUUCGGUUCUAGCGGCGGACGGGUGAGUAACGCGUGGGAAUGUGCCCUUCUCUACGGAAUAGCCCUGGGAAACUGGGAGUAAUACCGUAUACGCCCUAUUGGGGAAAGAUUUAUCGGAGAAGGAUCAGCCCGCGUUGGAUUAGGUAGUUGGUGGGGUAAUGGCCUACCAAGCCGACGAUCCAUAGCUGGUUUGAGAGGAUGAUCAGCCACACUGGGACUGAGACACGGCCCAGACUCCUACGGGAGGCAGCAGUGGGGAAUCUUAGACAAUGGGGGCAACCCUGAUCUAGCCAUGCCGCGUGAGUGAUGAAGGCCUUAGGGUUGUAAAGCUCUUUCAGCUGGGAAGAUAAUGACGGUGCCAGCAGAAGAAGCCCCGGCUAACUCCGUG